rnacentral:rRNA from 1 species
CCACACUGGGACUGAGACACGGACCAGACUCCUACGGGAGGCAGCAGUGGGGAAUUUUCCGCAAUGGGCGCAAGCCUGACGGAGCAAGACCGCGUGGGGGAGGAAGGUUUGUGGACUGUAAACCCCUUUUAUCAGAGAAGAACGCAAUGACGGUAUCUGAUGAAUCAGCCUCGGCUAACUCCGUGCCAGCAGCCGCGGUAAUACGGAGGAGGCAAGCGUUAUCCGGAAUUAUUGGGCGUAAAGCGCCCGUAGGUGGUUGUUCAAGUCCAUUGUUAAAGCGUGAGGCUUAACCUCAUAUCGGCAGUGGAAGCUGAGCGACUCGAGUGCGACAGGGGCAAGGGGAAUUCCUAGUGUAGCGGUGAAAUGCGUAGAAAUUAGGAAGAACACCGGUGGCGAAAGCGCCUUGCUGGGUCUGCACUGACACUGAUGGACGAAAGCUAGGGGAGCGAAAGGGAUUAGAUACCCCUGUAGUCCUAGCUGUAAACGAUGGGUACUAGGCGUUGACCGUAUCGACCCGGUCAGUGCCGGAGCUAACGCGUUAAGUACCCCGCCCUGGGGAGUACGCUCGCAAGAGUGAAACUCAAAGGAAUUGACGGGGGGCCCGCACAAGCGGUGGAGUAUGUAUGUUUAAUUCGAUGCAACGCGAAGAAACCUUACCAGGGCUUGACAUGUCCAGAAUCACCUUGGAAGAGGUGAGUGCCUUUCGGGGAGCUGGAACACAGGUGGGUGCAUGGGCUGUCGUCAGCUCGUGUCGUGAGAUGUUGGGGUAAAGUUCCCGAAACGAGCGCGCAACCCUCGUUUCUUAAGU